AAAUAUUAGUUGGGCAUGGUAGUGCAUGCCUGUAAUAAUAGCUGCUUGGGAGGUUGAGGUGGGAGGAUUGCUCGAGCAAGGUUACAGUGAGCUAUGAUUGCAGAACUGCACUAUAUGUUGAUAAAACUAUUACAAUUAUAUCCUUUUUAAUGUUUUACUUAGAUGGAUAUUCAAUUCAGUAAACAUUUUCAAAAGACUUUAUUUAAAAAAAACAAAAACAAUGACUAAUGUCCUCCAGGACAACUGCACCCACUGACAUCCCCCCAUCUGCAUUCAGGAACUUCCCUUUGUCAUUCUCCUGGGUUCAACUUACUAUGUUUCAGAUCCUGCUAUUGCUCAUCCUUGAGUAUGCCUGAGAAAGGUUGUAUGAGAGCUACACUUGUUCUGAAAAUAUAUUCUUUUUUCACAUUUGAUUUAUAAUUAGGCUGAGUAGUUUCAGAUGUUGAUAUCAGAAUGUUCUUAUUGCAAGUAUUAAAGCUUGGUUUUAAAAAAAGGAGGGGUAAGCGGUUUCUGGCUGAAAUAACCAAGAAGUCCAAAGUUGUAUUGACUUCAGGGAUGGUUUGAUCCAGAGGUUCAGAGUCAUAUGGGCCUUGGUUCCUUUUAUUUUUAUUUUUUAAGUAUUUUCUCCUGUCUCUGCAUGGUGGUCAGAGAACAUGAUUUGCAUUUUUAAAAAAUAAUUUUUGAUAUACAGUGAGGUCUAUGCACCAAGUAUAUAAUUAAUUUUAUAAAUGUUUCUCGGAUUUGGGGAAAAAUAUAUUCUUAUAACAAAGAAGUCAUUUUUUUCAGAUUCUGUAAGUACAUAUUUUUAUAUUACAUUUUAAAAACUGAGCUUGGGUUAUUUGUCUUAACAUUGAUCUGUUAUGUCUUUGCCUGGUAUUUGCUCUGUCCUCUCAGCCUACUGGUGGACUCCAGUUGCUGCAAUGAAAGCCACUUUAAAUUCAAACCACUACCUGAACUUUAUGUGUAAAGUCUUUGUAUUCCUCUAUCUGGAAGAGCCUGGUGC
rnacentral:lncRNA from 1 species